rnacentral:rRNA from 1 species
AGCUCACUGGUCAAGUUGUUUCGCACCGAAAAUGUACCGGGGCUAAACCUAGCACCGAAGAUACGGGCUCUUUGAUUUAUCAAAGAGCGGUAGAGGAGCAUUCCUUGCUCAGCGAAGUCGGAUCCGUCAGGACCGGUGGAGAGCAAGGAAGAGAGGAUGUUGGCAUAAGUAGCAGUAAGGCCAGUGAAAACCUGGCCCACCGUAAACCCAAGGUUUCCUGGGCAACGCAAAUCGUCCCAGGGUUAGUCGGCCCUAAGGUGAGUCACUGAUGUAUGUCAGUGGGUAGCCGAUGGAUGAGGUUGUUAAUAUUCAACCACUUUCGUACUUUUGUUUAACACUGCGCAUUGCGAAGAUGCGAGCGUGUUUUGGUUAUAUUCGUUCCGCAAGGAAGAGACAAAGCCGCAAGGCAGAGUCAAUUCGGGUUGGAGCAGUGCCAAGAAAAGGUGUUAAGCGUUAAAAGUAUGAAAACCGUACCGUAAACCGACACAGGUGGGUGGGCGUAAAUGUGCUAAGGUGUACGAGAGAACCCUCGUUAAGGAACUCGGCAAAAUAGUAUGCGUAACUUCGGAAUAAGCAUUUCCUUGAUUUAUCAAGGACGCAGUUAACGAUUUCAAGCGACUGUUUAACAAAAACACAGGUCCCUGCGAAACCGCAAGGUGAUGUAUAGGGGCUGAUGCNNAAGCGCUGAUGAACGCCGGCGAUAACUAUAAUCGUCCUAAGGUAGCGAAAUACCUUGUCGUGUGAGUUACGACGCGCACGAAUGGCAUAACGACUUGAAAACUCUCUCAACGAGGGACUCGGCGAAAUUGCAAGAGAGGUGAAGAUGCCUCUUACCCGCGGCUAGACGAAAAGACCCCGUGAAGCUUUACUGUAGCUUGAUAUUGGGUUAAGGAUUUAUCUGUUCAGCGUAGGUGGGAGCUCCGAGCAAUCGGAGCGACGAUGAGACACCACCCUGAUGUUUUCUUAAUUCUAAUCUUCCUUGAUUAUCUCAAGGAGGAGACAGUAUCUGGUGGGCAGUUUAUCUGGGGCGGAUGCCUCCUAAAAUGUAACGGAGGCGUUUACAAAGGUGAGCUUGGCUCCGAUGGAAACGGAGCUGGACGUGCAAUGGCAUAAGCUCGCUUUACUGCAAGACCUACAAGUCGCGCAGUCCCGAAAGGGGAACAUAGUGAUCCGACGAUCCAAUGUAGGAUGGUCGAAGCUCAACGGAUAAAAGCUACNNACGAGCCCAAAACGGUGAAGGCCUUUAAUAUUUGUUUUGGAUUUGCGCACGACGCAGGUCCCAGGUAUAAUAGAAACAUAUGUUGAAGGUUAAUCCCGUGGGAAAGCAAUGUUCCGAAGCUGAAAAGGCAUAUGCGGCCGGAUUUCUUGAUGCUGAUGGCGCCAUUAUGGCGACUAUUGAAAAACAUCAAGAAAAGAAAUUUGGCUUUAGAGUACGAGUAACAGUGAAAGUCACACAAAGUCGGCGUGAAAUUUUGGAAUGGUUCCAAAAAAAAUUUCACGCAGGGCUGAUUAGAAAAAAUCGCACCACUUUUGACUGGCAAAUUAGAGACCAGAAAGCGGCGAUCGAUUUUUUGGAAAUUUUGUUACCGUAUCUCAAAGUUAAAAAGCUGCAAGCGCAAAAAGCGUUGCGUAUUUUGCGACGAACAAUCAAAAGUUCAUCGCAAUUACGGCAAGUUGCCGAUUUGGCGGAUUCAUUAUCACAUUUGAAUGUGCGGUCGCAAGGCCGUCGCAAGAAUUUUGUGACAAUGAUCCAGGAAAAUUGCUCCCGUAACGACUGAANNGAGCUGGGUUCAGAACGUCGCGAGACAGUUCGGUCUCCUAUCUGUCGCGGGCGCGGAAAUUUGAGAAGGCUCGUCUCUAGUAGACCCAAAAGGGUCCAUGCUACUUUCUCGAGUAAUUGAGAAUGACAAUUCAGCUAAUAACGGUGAAGUCUUAACAGUGUUUAUGGUUAUAGCUCACUUUUUUUGCGCGGUCUAAAGAAAAGUGGUAUAAUGUAUUUGAGGACCAUAAAUUAUUGUUUAAGAUAAUACCGUGGGAAGUCGAUCUAAAAUUAAAAAAGAAGAAUUAGCGUACCUUGCCGGCUUUUUAGACGGCGACGGCAGUUUAAUGCUUCAAAUCAAAAAACGCAGUGAUUCAAAAAGAGGAUGGCGUUUAAUGGCAACGAUCUGUUUUUAUCAAGAUUCUCGCCAUGACAUGCCAUUAUAUUGGAUGCGAAAAAAAUUGAAAAUAGGUUAUAUUUCGCAUCGUAAUGAUGGAAUGACAGAAUUGAGAAUUAAUGGAUUUGAUCAAGUAAAAAAUGUGGUCGGUCUGUUAUUUCCUUAUCUGCGUUUUAAAAAGAAACAGGCGCGGGUUAUAAUAAAAGCUUGCGUGUUGUUAGCUAGGAAACCUCUGAAAUUGCUCUCCAAAAAAGAGCUCAAUAUGAUUUGUAAUUAUUUAGUGAUUAUUCAGAAAAAUAAUUAUGCAACUCAUUCAAAAAAGAGUUUAGAGGAAUUAAAAUUAAUUUUAGGUUUGACCCCGUAACGACUGAUUUCUUUAAUACGGAAUUAAAGAAUGAGAUAGAAGUUGUGUAAAUUUAGCUUAAAACUUCUAUAACACGCUGACUCCGCCAGCUGGCGGAUGAAGAUAUAGUCUACACUUCUAGUGAUAGAAGAAUUAUGUGACGAGAGGACCGAGACGAAAGAACCUCUGGUUGAUGAGUUGUGGUACCAACCGCAUUGCUCAGUAGCCAAGUUCGGCACGGAUAAACGCUGAAAGCAUCUAAGCGUGAAGCCGUCUUCAAGAUUAAAUUUCAUAGACACCCUAUAGAUUAUGGGGUUGAUAGGUGGUAGGUGUAAGAUCCGUAAGGAUUUAAGCCGAGCCAUACUAAUCAGUCGUU